UUUGAAACUCUGCGUUUUACAUAGAAAAAUAUGUGGGAUAGUAAAUGUGUAAUCUGUGUUAAUAAGCUUUCUUGUCAUGUUUUGUAGCUUUUAAAAAAGCUACCUUAGGGCAAGAAUCUACAGUUUAUAAUCAUAUAGAACAAGGAUCUGUCGUGGUCUGAAUUGUGUUCCCUCCCUCCAAACUCGUAGGUAAUACCCCCAAUACCUCAGAAUGUGGCUGUAUUUGGAAAUUCGCCCUUUGAAGAGUUAAUCAAGGUUAAAUGAGGUCAUUGGGCGGGCCCUAGUCCAGUAGAACUGGUGUCCUCAUUUGAAGAGGAAGAGACCUGAGCGGUGUAUGCGCACACAGGCAAGACCAUUCGAGGACACAGCAGGAAGGCAGCCACCUGCAAGCCAAGGAGAGAGGCCUCAGGAGAAACCAGCUGGCCACACCCUGAUCUUGGACUUCAGCCCCAGAAUUGUAAGCUGAUUAAAACUUGUUGAAGGAUCUUGAAGAGCACACAUGGGUAACAAAGGAUGAAAAAGAUAAUCGGAGAUGAAGAGAGAAGGCAGGCCAGGAUAACUGGCACCAGGAGGCUCAUAGCUUCCGUCUUAGAGAAAUCACAACACUCAGCCUUUGAAAGUAGACAAGAUAGUCUUUGGAGAAGAAAGGAUAUUGGUGAUUUAUUUGGACAGAAUGAGAGAAGAGAAGAUGGAGGAGAACAGAGAAAACUUAUUUUGAGCAAGAGGAGAGUCACAGGAUCCCUGUGAUGACAGUGGGCUCACACAUAUAUCCAGGAUGGCGUUUGCAUCUCAAGAUUCUUACCUGAAUUAAUCUGCGAAGUCCCUUUUGCCAUGGUAAGGUAAUAUAUAUAUACAGUUUCUGAGGAUUUGGGCCUGGAUGUCUUUGGAUAUCUGUACAUGAAUGACAGUCCUAAACUGUGUUGUGAUUUCUUCAUUUAAGAUAGCAUCAACAAACACAUUGUAUCCUAAACAUUUUAUUAUUAAAUUGUUGAUUUAGAACAACAGUGUUCUGUUUGAUCUAGAAUUUCAUAAAAAUAGGAAAGUAUAUUUGAGUUUUCAGUUAUAUUUUACUUAAUAUUAUGAUUUUAAGUUUCACCCAAGUUAUAUGUAAUUCAUUUAUUUUUAUUACUUUAAUGCUUUUUGUUUUUACUAUACUUAAAAUUAUUCUUCCAUUCUGUAGUUGAUGCAAAUAGUGUUACUAUGAACAUUUUUGUCUCCUGGUGCAAGAAUGUGCAUGGGUUUCUUUACAGUUUAUAUUUAGGAAUGGGGUAUCUAGAUUAUAGGAUUUAUUUUGGGGUAAAAUAAUGGUAAAUAAUUGUUGAAAUUAUUUUACAUUCCCACCAAAAGUGAAUAAAUAUUACAGGUAAGUUUUUUAAAGAGUAUUCAUAUUCUUGAAAGUGCUUUAAAAAUUUUGUUUAUUUUCAUUUUAUUUGAAAGGCAGAGGGGUAUAGAGACAGACGGAGAGAGAUCGUCCUUUAGCUGGUUUACUACCCAGAUGCCCACGCCAUCCAUGCCAAAGCCAGGAGCCAGAAUCUCAGUCUGGGUUUCUCACCUGGGUGGCAGGGACCCAAGAGCUUGAGCCAUCACCUGUGCCUUCCAGAUGUGCAUUAGCAGGAAGCUGGGAUCAGAAGCAGAGGAGCUGGGAUUCAACCCCAACACUUUGGUAUGGGAUAUGGGCAUCCUAAGUGGUGACUUAACUACUGUACCAAAUACCCACCCAAAGGCUAGAAUUUCUCUUUAACUCUGCCAGCAACCAAUAUGGCGAGUCUUGAAGGGCAUUUCCUCAUGCUUUUGACCAGAAAUUUUCUAGUUUACUUGUAAGCAUGAGCAUCUUUUUCUGAUCUUGGUCUACUGUGAAACCUCUUUAGUUUGCCCCUUACAGGACUUCUUAUCUAAUCAGCAGAUUAAUCCUUUGUUGAUUGGAUGCACUAUGAAUAAACUCUGCCAGGUUAUGGCUUGCCCUGUUAUUUGCUUUAUUACGUCUGGGAUAGCACAGAGGGUCACACUGUGAAAUCAGACUCGCAUGAAUCAGAGAAGUGCCCUUAUUAGCUUUGCUAAAAAAUUAAGGCGCCUGUGAAGCAGGGGCGCUGUGGACCCUCGGUGUUGCUUUUCAGAUUCUUGCAAUACCGGCUGACUCUGGGUUCAGAUUAAUACACGAUGUCUCAAAGCCACGAGUGAGAGUCACACCUCCCAUCCAGAAGGUCCAUCCAUGCACUGUAAAUUCAUAGAUCUCAUGUUUAUCCAGCAUGAUUGAUUUUAGGUUACUAGAUAGAUCCUGCUAAAAAGCAUCCCAUAGGUAAAGACUGUUCCAUUCACAAAUGUCAUCAUUUUUCCCCAGAUGUCUAUCAGUAGCAUGUAAACAAGAUUAGAGCGUGUUCUUUCUUUCAUUAGGUCUUUGCUCCCCGUUCCCCAGUGCAGGGCAGGAAUUACAGCCCAAGUGCAGAACCAUUUCUUUUUUCUUUUUUUAAAUUUAAUUCUUUAAAAUUUAUUUUUUAAGGAAUACAAAUUUCAUAAGUACAACUUUCCGAAUAUGGUUAGUCUUCCCACCAUAGCAGCCCUCCCUCCCACACGCUCACCCCUCCUCAUCCCCCCUCCGCCUUACCAGUCCCAUUUUCCAUUAAGAUUCAUUUCAGGUAACUUUGUACACAGAAGACCAAGUCUGUACUAAGUAAAGAUUUCAAUAAUUUGCACACACACACACACACACACAAACUAUUUGAGAACUGGUUUUACUGUUAACUCUCAAUACAACUCGUUGAGGACAGAGGUCCUGCAUGGGGAGUUAGUGCACAGUGACUAUUGUUAACAAUUAAAACUCUUAUGUAUGAUAUCAGUGACCACCUGAGGCUCUUGAAAUGAGAUGCCUAGGCUAUGGAAGACUUUAGAACCACUUAUUUUCCAUUGUCCAUGAUAUGUGUGGUGUAAGGUAAGAAUCAGUUUAUUUUUUCUCCAUAUGGAAGACCAGCACAUUUAUUGAAAUUUUUUUUCGCAGACUAUAAUCAAUAUGAUACUUAGUCUUCAAAAUAUGCAGCAUGUGGGGCUUACUUUAUGAAUUGCUAUGUGACCAAGUUUUGAAAUAUGUGUUGGAGAAAAUUAUUUUUUAAAAAAAUAAUGGUUUUAUUUUUAAAUUGACAUUAAAAUUGUAUAUAACUAUGGAGAUAGAGCAUGAUGUUUUGAAAUAUGUGUACAAUAGGAAAUGACUAGAGCAAACUAAUUAACAUAUGUUACCUCACCCGCUUAUGAUUUUUUUUUGUGGUGUGAGGACUACAAAUCUUCUCUCUCAGCAGUUUCCAAGUAUAUGAUACACUGUUAUCAUCUGCAGUCACUGUGUUGUACAAUAGAUCUCUUGAAGUUUGUGUAUUCUUUUUUUUUAAGAUUUAUUUAUUUGAAAGUCAGAGUUACACAGAGAGAGGAGACGCAGAGAGGGAGAGAGAGAGAGAGAGAGAGAGAGAGGUGUCUUCCAUCCACUGAUUCACUCCUCAAUUGGCCGCAAUAGCCAAGCUACGCCGAUCCGAAGACAGGGACCAGGAGCUUCUUCCAGGUCUCCCACUUGGGUGCAGGGGCCCAAGGACUUGGGCCAUCUUCUACUGCUUUUGCAGGCCAUAAUAGAGAGCUGGAUGGGAAGUGGAGUAGCUGGGACUUGAACGGGCACCCAUAUGGGGUGCAGGCA